AUUGAACGCUGGCGGCAGGCCUAACACAUGCACGUCGAGCGGAGCGGCGGACGGGUGAGUAAUGCCUAGGAAUCUGCCUGGUCGUGGGGGAUGACGUCCGGAAACGGGCGCUAAUACCGCAUACUAUACGCUGAGCCUAGGUCGGAGUAGCUAGUGGGUGGGGUCAAGGCCUACCAUGGCGACGAUCCGUAACUGGUCUGAGAGGAGUAUCAGUCACACGGGAACUGAGCGACGGUCCAGACGCGUACGGGAGGAAGCAGUGGGGAAUAGUGGACAAUGGGCGAAAGCCUGAUCCAGCCAUGCCGCGUGUGUGAAGAAGGUCUUCGGAUUGUAAAGCACUUUAAGUUGGGAGGCGUUACCAACAGAAUAAGCACCGGCUAACUUCGUGCCAGCAGCCGCGGUAAGAC
rnacentral:rRNA from 1 species